UCUUAGGUCCUUUACCAAACUCUCCACCUCGGACAGAGAGUCUCACAUCAACUUCUCUGACGAGAUGACUGUGUUUCUGAACAGCUUUGCCUACUUUAUCCUCAACAUGCUGCUUGAUUGCCUCUGAUAACUAUCACACCAAUGUCAUAAUUAAUCAAAUGACUGAAGACAACCCUCUAGUAAUCGAAAGUUCAAAACUUUUCUAGUAAAUAAAACGAAAUUUCAAACAUUUUCUAGUAAUCAAAUUCUCAAUUAUCCAAAUUUCCAUAGUUUUUCUAGUAACCAAUACUCAAAUCAUCGAAAGUUCCAAACUUUUUCUAGUAACCAAUUCAAAAAUAACCGAAAGUUCCAAACUUUUCUAGUAACCAAUGCUCAAAUAAUCGAAAGUUCAAAACUUUUCUACUACUAACCAAUGCUCAAAUAAUCAAAAAGUUCCAAACUUUUUCUAGUAACCAAUUUUCAAAUAAUCUAAAGUUUCAAACUUUUCUAGUAACCAAUCCUCAAAUAAUCGAAAGUUCCAACCUUUUCUAGUAACCAAGUCUCAGUAAU